rnacentral:rRNA from 1 species
AGAAUUUGAUCCUGGUUCAGAUUGAACGCUGACGGCGUGGAUGAGGCAUGCAAGUCGUACGAAGUUGUUGCUUCGGCAGCAACUUAGUGGCGGAAGGGUUAGUAAUACAUGGGUAACAUGCCUCCAACUUUGGAAUAACUCUUGGAAACGAGAGCUAAUGCCGAAUGUGGUGAGAUAUGGCAUCAUAUCUACAUUAAAGGGGGGGACCGUGAAAACGGCCUCUUGGUUGGAGAGUGGCCCAUGGGAUAUCAGCUUGUUGGUGUGGUAACAGCGCACCAAGGCUUAGACGUCUAGGCGGGUUGAGAGAUUGACCGCCAACACUGGGACUGAGACACUGCCCAGACUCCUACGGGAGGCUGCAGUCGAGAAUCAUUCGCAAUGGGCGAAAGCCUGACGAUGCGACGCCGUGUGAACGAAGAAGGCCUUCGGGUUGUAAAGUUCUUUCGCCAGGGAACAAGAGAGGAUGGCCAAUAACCAUCUAAUUUGAGGGUACCUGGUAAAGAAGCACCGGCUAACUCCGUGCCAGCAGCUGCGGUAAUACGGAGGGUGCAAGCGUUAAUCGGAUUUAUUGGGCGUAAAGAGGGCGCAGGCGGAGCUGUUAGUCAGACGUGAAAUCCCGGAGCUCAACUUCGGAACUGCAUCUGAAACUACAGCCCUAGAGGAUAGGCGGAGAAAACGGAAUUCCAUGUGUAGCGGUGAAAUGCGUAGAUAUAUGGAAGAACACCCGUGGCGAAGGCGGUUUUCUAGCUUAUUCCUGACGCUCAGGCCCGAAAGCGAGGGGAGCAAACAGGAUUAGAUACCCUGGUAGUCCUCGCCGUAAACGAUGCAUACUAGGCGUAGCCGGACUCAACCCUGGCUGUGCCGUAGCUAACGCGUUAAGUAUGCCGCCUGGGGAGUACGCUCGCAAGGGUGAAACUCAAAAGAAUUGACGGGGACCCGCACAAGCAGUGGAGCAUGUGGUUUAAUUCGAUGCAACGCGAAGAACCUUACCCAGGCUUGACAUGCAGCGGACAGCAUCAGAGAUGGUGUUUUCUUCGGACCGCUGUGCAGGUGCUGCAUGGCUGUCGUCAGCUCGUGCCGUGAGGUGUUGGGUUAAGUCCCGCAACGAGCGCAACCCUUAUCGUCAGUUGCCAACAUUUAGGAUGGGGACUCUGACGAGACUGCCUAGGUUAACUAGGAGGAAGGUGAGGAUGACGUCAAGUCAGCAUGGCCCUUAUGCCUGGGGCUACACACGUGCUACAAUGGCCGGCACAGAAGGCAGCGAAGCCGAGAGGUGGAGCAAAUCCAAAAAACCGGUCCCAGUUCGGAUUGGAGUCUGCAACUCGACUCCAUGAAGUCGGAAUUGCUAGUAAUGGCGUGUCAGCAAUAACGCCGUGAAUACGUUCCCGGGUCUUGUACAUACCGCCCGUCACAUCAUGGAAGUUGGUUUUGCCCGAAGUCGCUGACUCAACCGCAAGGGGAGAGGCGCCUAAGGUGAGGCCGAUGACUGGGAUGAAGUCGUAACAAGGUA